rnacentral:misc_RNA from 1 species
GAUGAAGAACGUAGCGAAAUGCGAUAAGUAAUGUGAAUUGCAGAAUUCAGUGAAUCAUCGAAUCUUUGAACGCACAUUGCGCCCGCCAGUAUUCUGGCGGGCAUGCCUGUUCGAGCGUCAUUUCAACCAUCAAGCCCCCGGCUUGCGUUGGGGACCUGCGGCUGCCGCAGGCCCUGAAAAGCAGUGGCGGGCUCGCUGUCACACCGAGCGUAGUAGCAUACAUCUCGCUCUGGGCGUGCUGCGGGUUCCGGCCGUUAAACCACCUUCAUAACCCAAGGUUGACCUCGGAUCAGGUAGGAAGACCCGCUGAACUUAAGCAUAUCAAUAAGCGGAGGA